GAUGAACGCUGGCGGCGUGCCUAACACAUGCAAGUCGAGCGAACGGACGAGAAGCUUGCUUUUCUGAUGUUAGCGGCGGACGGGUGAGGAACACGUGGAUAACCUACCUAUAAGACUGGGAUAACUUCGGGAAACCGGAGCUAAUACCGGAUAAUAUUUUGAACCGCAUGGUUCAAAAGUGAAAUACGGUCUUGCUGUCACUUAUAGAUGGAUCCGCGCUGCAUUAGCUAGUUGGUAAGGUAACGGCUUACCAAGGCAACGAUGGAUAGCCGACCUGAGAGGGAGGUCGGCCACACUGGAGCUGAGACACGGUCCAGACUCCUACGGGAGGCAGCAGUAGGGAAUCUUACGCAAUGGACGAAAGCCUAACAGAGCACCGCGGCGUGAGUGAUGAGGGUCUACGGAUCGUAAAACUCUGUUAUUAGGGAAGAACAUAUGUGUAAGUAACUGUGCACAUCUUGACGGUACCUAAUCAGAAAGCCACGGCUAACUACGUG
rnacentral:rRNA from 1 species